UACGGAGGAUGCGAGCGUUAUCCGGAUUUAUUGGGUUUAAAGGGUGCGUAGGCGGGAUGCCAAGUCAGCGGUAAAAAUGCGGUGCUCAACGCCGUCGAGCCGUUGAAACUGGCGUUCUUGAGUGGGCGAGAAGUAUGCGGAAUGCGUGGUGUAGAGGUGAAAUGCAUAGAUAUCACGCAGAACUCCGAUUGCGAAGGCAGCAUACCGGCGCCCUACUGACGCUGAGGCACGAAAGCGUGGGUAUCGAACAGG
rnacentral:rRNA from 1 species